UGCGGAGGGUGUAGAGUGUCCUGUGAGCUUCUUCUCAAGAAAAUUUAACAAGCAUCAAUACAACUAUUCAGUGAUUGAGAAGGAGGCUUUGGCACUUGUUUGGGCUCUGCAGCAUUUUGAUGUCUAUGUCGGCUCAGGGUUAUCUCCGCUGACUGUCUUCACUGACCAUAACCCCCUCACCUUCUUGAAGUCACUGCAAAAUCCUAAUCAGAGGCUAAUGAGGUGGGCGCUGUUCCUGCAGCCAUAUAACCUAGACAUCCGACACAUUAAGGGGACUGACAAUGUAAUGGCAGAUGCCCUGUCUCGGGCACCUGUGGACCCUUAGUCUAUUUGUUCAUGCUGUCUCUCAUUUCCAUGUUCUCCUCUGCUCAUCUCUCGGCUCUUCAUUCCCUUAAAAUGCUCCUUUGGUACCAAGGCUGCUGGGUUGGUGAGGAUGGAGGGAUGUGCUGGAGGAUGCAGCCUGGGGGGAGUGCAGUACUGACUGUCAGUUAUUGGCUCCACGCCGCUACAGGUUCUUGGUUCUUGGUUCUUUUUGGCGUCUUCCUUGUACACUCAACAGCAGCACACACAUCUCACUCAUCCAUACACUACAUUCACCACUGAUGCCACUACUCUCCACACCUCAUGCUUUUUGUACAUAUAAUUGUUCAAGUUAUAAUAAAACCUUUUCAUUUAGCACUUUCAC